rnacentral:sRNA from 1 species
UGCGGAAGGAUAUUAUCGAGUUUUGACAGGGGUUGUACCUGGCCUUCCAAGGCAUGUGCACCCCCUGCUCAUUCCACUCUACACGUGUGCACUUACUGUGUGUCUCAUGCCAUCGUCGGUCCCUUCCCGGCGUCUGCAUUCAUCUGGGCUCAGGUUUUACUACAAACUAUUAAAGUAUCAGAAUGUCUACUGCGAAUUAACGCAUUUAAAUACAACUUUCAGCAACGGAUCUCUUGGCUCUCGCAUCGAUGAAGAACGCAGCGAAAUGCGAUAAGUAAUGUGAAUUGCAGAAUUCAGUGAAUCAUCGAAUCUUUGAACGCACCUUGCGCUCCUUGGUAUUCCGAGGAGCAUGCCUGUUUGAGUGUCAUGAAAUUCUCAACCUAACGAGUCUUUGCGGGCUCUGUAGGCUUGGACUUGAAGGUUCUUGUCCGCCUAGCGGUCGGCUCCUCUCAAAUGCAUUAGCUCGGUUCCUUGCGGAUCGGCUCUCGGUGUGAUAAUUGUCUACGCCGCGACCGUUGAACCGUUUUGGACGGCUUCUAAUCCUCUCGUUGGACACACUACUCUUUAUGACCUUCUGACCUCGAAUGACGUAGGACUACACGCUGAACUUUCCAUAUCCAAAGAAACGAGGAAAAAAAAUCUUUUUUCGGUC